UUGCUUCAUAGUGUGAAUGGCGUGUGAGUGGGUUAUGUGUGUGUGAGUGCUUGGUGAGUGUUUGGUGAGUGUUUGGCGAGUGUUUGUGUGAGUAAAUGUGCGGUGUUUGUCCGUGUGAGUGUGUAUUUCUGUUAAAACCUACACAGUGAUCUUAUUUGAUCUGGUCUGAGUUUGGCUCUGCUCCGACCAGAGAUGAUAGGAAAAGCGCUCGCGAGCCUCCAUGGCGAUGAGCAGUUGGCGAGAUGUUAACCUACAGGGCCUCCACGCUUUAUGUUGUGGUCAGAGGUGAUGAAUUGAUCAGAUAUACUAGUUCUGGGUGAGCUUGGGUUCAUCUCAAGCUUCACUGUGGACAAUGAGUAAAGAAGCGAUUCUGAUCUAA